rnacentral:lncRNA from 1 species
AUGCACGUGACGUGUAAAGCGAGGAUAGCUCUAGAAUUAUAUCAUAAGCAAUAAUUAGGAACUCAUUGGGUGGCCGGCGCUCGAUCGGUGACCGGAGAAAUACUGGAUCCAUUUGGGAGGUCGGCACAAGACACGUCCAUGCAUGUUAAGGGUGUGAUUCUUACUCUGACAGCACAAGCUCGAGUUGAAAUUUUACUUCUGAGGC